AUGGACAUCAUCUCGCAGCUGCAGGAGCAGCUCAACGAGAUGGCCAUGGUGGCCGUCAACACCUUCGGCACGCUGCAGCGCGACGCGCCGCCCGUCCGCCUCUCCAACAGCUACCCCGACCCGCUCAACCCGAACCCUAACCCCGAAGGCCCCGCCUCCCAGCCCCAGGCCCCGCCCGCGCCCGGUGCGCCGGCGGCGGCACCUCUGCCGCCGCAGCCGCCGCAAGCGCGGCCCCAGCCGGCUCUCGACCUUGCCGAGCAACCCAAGGCCAUGAGCCACGCGCUCGUCCUCGCCGGAAAGAAGUUUGAUGCUCUUGUUGCUGCCUUACCACUGUCAUCUGAAGAGGAUCAGUUGAAAAGAAUUCAAGAACUUCAGGCAGAGAACGAAGUUGUGGGAUUGGAGCUUCAGAAACAACUUGAAGCUGCUGAACUGGAAUUGCAAAGGGUUGAAGUGUUGUUUAAUGAAGCUACAGACAACUGUAUAAAUUUGAAGAAGCCAGAUUAG
rnacentral:rRNA from 1 species